UGUUGACAUAAGACCGCGGGUGUGGGGGGCUCAGGUGCGCUGUGCCUGCGUUCUCCAGUGUGGCCACUAACCGUGGGUCUCCAGGAGCAGCGUCCCCACUAAGAAGGAACUCAUGACAGAUGCCAAUUCUCAGACCCUGUUACAAACCUGCAGAAUCACCAUUUCUUCUAUGGAACCUGGACACCAAAUGAUUUCUAUGCACAUUCAAGCUCGAAAGCACAUCAUUGCUUAUCAGCCUGGGUUUACAGUAAAGGGUGCUUCUCAGGUAGACCAGGGUGAAGCACAAGGAGUCACAGAUACAUCUGUGAGAGCUGCUUUCAGUUGAAGAGAAGAUACCAGAGUGUUCGGCCUUCCCUUGGAAGGGGCAGGUCAGUGCAGCCCACGUUCCCCAUGCUGUGGCAGGAUCUGUGGCUGUCUGUGGGAGGGGAGGACAUCUGAAACCGGGACGGAGAAACUCACGCAAGUGUCCGUGUAGUACCUCUCUUCUUUUCUUUUGAAUCUUUCCUGUGACGCAGCCUCUUGUGCAUUUCGAGAUCCUUCUGCCUCUGACCUGAUGAUAGCAGGUGAAGAAGCUGUGCUGAGGCCUUUAAAGGCUUCCAGGUGUGAUUUCUCGAUAUAAUCUCACCCAUGGAAACAAUGAAGAGCAGGAGGGAGAGGAAGAAAUGGCCGCUUCUCAGGUAAAUUUGUCUUGCCUUAGCUUAGGGCAGUGUCCUCAUUUCUUCCCCAAAUGCCAUAUAUUUAGAAUUUGCACAUUCAGUUCUCUACCUCUGGUUGUCCUUCCUAGCAAAUUUGUUUUGCUAUUUAUCCUUUUAAUGAGAGUGAGAGUGAAUUCUUAGGGUAUUUCUCUCUUGCAUUGCUGGGGCCGUCUCCAUUCUCUCCGACUGUGCUUUCUAAGCAGCGUAGGGAAUUCCUACCAUGAAUUCAUUCCCUGGAGUAUGAAAAUAUUCCCGCUAUGACAGAUCAACAAGGGGCUUGUUGCUACCCAAGAUUCACACCUGGGGACGUGUUGGGUUUCAGGACCCCAGUGAAGGGGGAGAAUAUAUAAUAUUUAUGGUUCUGUCUGGGUGUGGCCUCAGUCUUCAGAAACUAGAUGAACAUGAAAAAACAAUCCAGAUGGCUAUUAGGCCCAGAACAAGUCAGUGCUCUGAAAAAGAGAGCCUUGCUGUCUACAUUGCUUCAAAGAAGGACUUAGUAUUUGAAAUAUAUUAAAGAUUACAGGACACUGGAGCAAUCUGUGGCUUGAAAUUUCAUAACUGCUAUACUUUCACAAUUGGAAUCCUAGGAUUUGUUUUUCUUUUUGUUUUUUGGGGGGGUUUUUUAGUUUU
rnacentral:lncRNA from 1 species